AUAUAAAAGGUGGGAAGGAGUGCUAGGCCCAUAGCUCAAUGUGAAGACCCUGGACUCAAUCCCCAAUAGCAAAAAAGUAAUUGAUUAAAAAUGACUAGGUGUGUAGCUCAAUAGUAGAGUAAUUGUCUAGCAUGCAUAAAACUUUGGGUUCAAUCCCCAGUACCAGGAAAGAAAAAAAAAAAUUGUGACAAUAGUAAAGAUAACUGAACU